AUCUCAUGGUGUGGACACUUUCUCAAAAACUCUUUGAAUCUCUCCCAAGCUUCACCAAAGGAUUCAUCUUCCAGAUGCUGAAAUGACAUGAUUUCACUACACCAAAU